rnacentral:rRNA from 1 species
UGGGGAAUAUUGGACAAUGGGCGCAAGCCUGAUCCAGCCAUGCCGCGUGAGUGAUGAAGGCCCUAGGGUUGUAAAGCUCUUUCACCGGUGAAGAUAAUGACGGUAACCGGAGAAGAAGCCCCGGCUAACUUCGUGCCAGCAGCCGCGGUAAUACGAAGGGGGCUAGCGUUGUUCGGAUUUACUGGGCGUAAAGCGCACGUAGGCGGACUUUUAAGUCUGGGGUGAAGUCCCGGGGCUCAACCCCGGAACUGCCUUUGAUACUGGAAGUCUUGAGUAUGGUAGAGGUGAGUGGAAUUCCGAGUGUAGAGGUGAAAUUCGUAGAUAUUCGGAGUAACACCAGUGGCGAAGGCGGCUCACUGGACCAUUACUGACACUGAGGUUCGAAAGCGAGGGGAGCAAACAGG